GAUGAACGCUAGCGGCAGGCUUAACACAUGCAAGUCGAGGGGUAUUGGUUUUCGGACCAAGAGACCGGCGCACGGGUGCGUAACGCGUAUGCAAUCUACCUUUUGCAGAGGGAUAGCCCAGAGAAAUUUGGAUUAAUACCUCAUAGUAUAGUACUUUGGCAUCAAGGAACUAUUAAAGUCACAACGGCAAAAGAUGAGCAUGCGUCCCAUUAGCUAGUUGGUAAGGUAACGGCUUACCAAGGCUACGAUGGGUAGGGGUCCUGAGAGGGAGAUCCCCCCANACUGGUACUGAGACACGGACCAGACUCCUACGGGAGCAGCAGUGAGGAAUAUUGGACAAUGGGGCGCAAGCCUGAUCCAGCCAUGCCGCGUGCAGGAUGACGGUCCUAUGGAUUGUAAACUGCUUUUGACAGGAAGAAACACUACUUCGUGAAGUAGCUUGACGGUACUGUAAGAAUAAGGAUCGGCUAAACUCCGUGCCAGCAG
rnacentral:rRNA from 1 species